rnacentral:rRNA from 1 species
GAUGAACGCUGGCGGCGUGCCUAAUACAUGCAAGUCGAGCGAACAGACGAGGAGCUUGCUCCUCUGACGUUAGCGGCGGACGGGUGAGUAACACGUGGAUAACCUACCUAUAAGACUGGGAUAACUUCGGGAAACCGGAUCUAAUACCGGAUAAUAUAUUGAACCGCAUGGUUCAAUAGUGAAAGACGGUUUUGCUGUCACUUAUAGAUGGAUCCGCGCCGCAUUAGCUAGUUGGUAAGGUAACGGCUUACCAAGGCAACGAUGCGUAGCCGACCUGAGAGGGUGAUCGGCCACACUGGAACUGAGACACGGUCCAGACUCCUACGGGAGGCAGCAGUAGGGAACCUUCCGCAAUGGGCGAAAGCCUGACGGAGCAACGCCGCGUGAGUGAUGAAGGUCUUCGGAUCGUAAAACUCUGUUAUUAGGGAAGAACAGAUGUGUAAGUAACUAUGCACGUCUUGACGGUACCUAAACAGAAAGCCACGGCUAACUACGUG